GACGGAGGAUGCAAGCGUUAUCCGGAAUGAUUGGGCGUAAAGAGCGCGCAGGCGGUCGUUCAAGUCGAGUGUGAAAGCCCCCGGCUCAACUGGGGAGGGUCAUUCGAUACUGAUCGACUCGAAGGCAGGAGAGGGUAGUGGAAUUCCCGGUGUAGUGGUGAAAUGCGCAGAUAUCGGGAGGAACACCAAUGGCGAAGGCAGCUCGCUGGGACGUGACUGACGCUGAGACGCGAAAGCGUGGGGAGCAAACAGG
rnacentral:rRNA from 1 species